AACGCAGCGAAGGGCGAUAAGUAAUGUGAAUUGCAGAAUUCAGUGAAUCAUCGAAUCUUUGAACGCACAUUGCGCCCGCCAGUAUUCUGGCGGGCAUGCCUGUUCGAGCGUCAUUUCAACCCUCAAGCCCAGCUUGGUGUUGGGACUCGCGAGUCAAAUCGCGUUCCCCAAAUUGAUUGGCGGUCACGUCGAGCUUCCAUAGCGUAGUAGUAAAACCCUCGUUACUGGUAAUCGUCGCGGCCACGCCGUUAAACCCCAACUUCUGAAUGUUGACCUCGGAUCAGGUAGGAGUACCCGCUGAACUUAA
rnacentral:rRNA from 1 species